rnacentral:lncRNA from 1 species
AGAAUAUGAGUUCCACAUCGGAAACUUGACUAAAUAAAAUACAAAAUAUAAUGAAUGAUUCUACUACUAAUAAUACCGAGGCCUUUUGUGAUAAAACCCCACACUUAUUGGGCUUUGUAGGUGGUUAAGUUGGAGACAAUAUCGAUGUUGUUAAUAGUGGGCCGCUGGCCCGUCUUUCUGAAUUUAACAUGGUAUUAGAGUAGGUUGAUUGACUAGGCUUGAAUUAGGCCUCUACCCUUACCCAAUAUGUGGUGUUCACAUGUUGGGCUUGAAUGUUUACCCCUACUCUUUACCCAAUACGUGGUGCUCACGUGUUGGGCAUGAAUGAUUGACUCCGUUGUGAACUUGGCUCCACGUAUGGCCCACUAUAUGGUGGUCCCACGUGAGAGGACAUGUUGAAGGAUAUGAGUCUCACAUUCGAAACUUAACUAAAUAAAAUACAAAAUAUAAUAAAUGGUUCUACUACUAAUAAUACCGAGGCCUUUUGUGAUAAAACCUCACCUGCUGGGCUUUAUAGGUGGUUAAGUUGGGGACAAUAUUGGUGUUGUUAGUAGUGGGCCGCUGACCAGUCUUUCUGAGUUUAACAUAUGUUGUUUAUUUUAAGAGCUACUAGGGUAAAAUAGACUUUCUUUUUUUCUUUUUUUUUUUGGAAUGGGAAUAAGAUGAACUUUUUAAAAUUUAGAACUAAAUUUAUGCUCUUAAAAACAUUGCACUGGGCUGGAGCCCACUCAAGCUUGGCUUCGCCCUUAGGUACAUGCCCAUGAACAUGUGGGUCCAAAGUUGGGAUGGAGGAGGUCCACUUUGAUGAAGGGUAGAACCUUUGGUUGCUUGCCAUACAAGCAUGCUUGUACAGGCUGUGUUUGGGUAUCCUUAGAUCAUGUUAUGCAUCGCAAUCACAAAACAGACUUCUUCAACUACGCAAUAAGCUCUUUUGCAAUGUGGAAGGGGCUGACUGCUUCUUCAGGUCUUGUUGAAAGCAAAAAAACUUACUUGUAACAGGGAUAUCACUAUUUUACUAUUCCCA